rnacentral:rRNA from 1 species
UACGUAGGGUGCGAGCGUUAAUCGGAAUUACUGGGCGUAAAGCGUGCGCAGGCGGUGAUGUAAGACAGGUGUGAAAUCCGCGGGCUUAACCUGGGAACUGCAUUUGUGACUGCAUCGCUGGAGUGCGGCAGAGGGGGAUGGAAUUCCGCGUGUAGCAGUGAAAUGCGUAGAUAUGCGGAGGAACACCGAUGGCGAAGGCAAUCCCCUGGGCCUGCACUGACGCUCAUGCACGAAAGCGUGGGGAGCAAACAGG